UCAAAACUUUUCAGCUAGAGUAUGAUAGAGGAAAGCAGAAUUUCUAGUGUAGAGGUGAAAUUCGUAGAUAUUAGAAAGAAUACCAAUUGCGAAGGCAGCUUUCUGGAUCAUUACUGACACUGAGGAACGAAAGCAUGGGUAGCGAAGAGGAUUAGAUACCCUCGUAGUCCAUGCCGUAAACGAUGUGUGUUAGACGUUGGAAAUUUAUUUUCAGUGUCGCAGCGAAAGCGAUAAACACACCGCCUGGGGAGUACGACCGCAAGGUUAAAACUCAAAUGAAUUGACGGGGACCCGCACAAGUAGUGGAGCAUGUGGUUUAAUUCGAAGAUACGCGCAGAACCUUACCAACACUUGACAUGUUCGUCGCGACUCUAAGAGAUUAGAGUUUUCGGUUCGGCCGGACGAAACACAGGUGCUGCAUGGCUGUCGUCAGCUCGUGUCGUGAGAUGUUGGGUUAAGUCCCGCAACGAGCGCAACCCUCACUUUUAGUUGCCAUCAUUAAGUUGGGCACUCUGAAAGAACUGCCAGUGAUAAGCUGGAGGAAGGUGGGGAUAACGUCAAGUCCUCAUGGCCCUUACGUGUUGGGCUACACACGUGCUACAAUGGUAUCUACAACAGGAAGCAAAACGGCAACGUUAAGCAAAUCCCGAAAAGAUACCUCAGUUCGGAUUGCACUCUGCAACUCGAGUGCAUGAAGCUGGAAUUACUAGUAAUCGUGGAUCAGCGUGCCACGGUGAAUGCGUUCCCGGGUCUUGUACACACCGCCCGUCACACCAUGGGAGUUGGUUCUACCUUAAGGCAAGGUUUUAAACCCUUGACCACGGUAUAGUCAGCGACUGGGGUGAAGUCGUAACAAGGUAGCCGUA
rnacentral:rRNA from 1 species